rnacentral:rRNA from 8 species
ACGAACGCUGGCGGCGUGCCUAAUACAUGCAAGUCGAGCGAAUCUUUAGGAGCUUGCUCCUAUUGGUUAGCGGCGGACGGGUGAGUAACACGUGGGCAACCUGCCUGUAAGACUGGGAUAACACCGGGAAACCGGUGCUAAUACCGGAUAAUCCUUUUCCUCACAUGAGGGAAAGCUGAAAGACGGUUUCGGCUGUCACUUACAGAUGGGCCCGCGGCGCAUUAGCUAGUUGGUGAGGUAACGGCUCACCAAGGCGACGAUGCGUAGCCG